rnacentral:rRNA from 1 species
AACGAACGCUGGCGGCAUGCCUAAUACAUGCAAGUCGAACGAGAUCUUCGGAUCUAGUGGCGCACGGGUGCGUAACGCGUGGGAAUCUGCCCUUGGGUUCGGAAUAACUUCUGGAAACGGAAGCUAAUACCGGAUGAUGACGUAAGUCCAAAGAUUUAUCGCCCAAGGAUGAGCCCGCGUAGGAUUAGCUAGUUGGUGGGGUAAAGGCCCACCAAGGCGACGAUCCUUAGCUGGUCUGAGAGGAUGAUCAGCCACACUGGGACUGAGACACGGCCCAGACUCCUACGGGAAGCAGCAGUAGGGAAUAUUGGACAAUGGGCGAAAGCCUGAUCCAGCAAUGCCGCGUGAGUGAUGAAGGCCUUAGGGUUGUAAAGCUCUUUUACCCGGGAUGAUAAUGACAGUACCGGGAGAAUAAGCGCCGGCUAACUCCGUG